rnacentral:lncRNA from 1 species
UAAAAGAAUUUCAUCCCAAAAUUAUGUUACCUUUAGUUUGAAAUAGAUGUGGAUAUUUACUUUUCAUUUCAUCUUCUCUUUUUUAUGUAGCUUCUUCUAUAAUAUGGUUCUGCCAUAAUACUUUAACUAAUGGUAUAACUCGAGAAUGCAACCAUUUCUCUUCCUUAUUUAAGAUCUAGACUGGUUCUUCUAGAUAAGAUAAGUCUUCUUUUAAUUCAACUAAUCUGG